UACGGAGGGUGCAAGCGUUAAUCGGAAUUACUGGGCGUAAAGCGUGCGCAGGCGGUUUUGUAAGUCUGUCGUGAAAUCCCCGGGCUCAACCUGGGAAUUGCGAUGGAGACUGCAAGGCUAGAAUCUGGCAGAGGGGGGUAGAAUUCCACGUGUAGCAGUGAAAUGCGUAGAGAUGUGGAGGAACACCGAUGGCGAAGGCAGCCCCCUGGGUCAAGAUUGACGCUCAUGCACGAAAGCGUGGG
rnacentral:rRNA from 1 species